rnacentral:rRNA from 1 species
CCUACGGGAGGCAGCAGUGGGGAAUAUUGGACAAUGGGCGAAAGCCUGAUCCAGCAAUUCCGCGUGUGUGAAGAAGGCCUUCGGGUUGUAAAGCACUUUAGUGGGGGAAGAAACAGCUUGGCCACACCAAGCCUUGACGGCACCCCAAGAAUAAGCACCGGCUAACUCUGUGCCAGCAGCCGCGGUAAUACAGAGGGUGCAAGCGUUAAUCGGAUUUACUGGGCGUAAAGGGUGCGUAGGUGGCUAUUUAAGUCGGAUGUGAAAGCCCGGGGCUCAACCUCGGAAUUGCAUUCGAUACUGAGUGGCUAGAGUUCGGUAGAGGGCGGCGGAAUUUCCGGUGUAGCGGUGAAAUGCGUAGAUAUCGGAAGGAACAUCAAUGGCGAAGGCAGCCGCCUGGGCCUGGACUGACACUGAGGCACGAAAGCGUGGGUAGCAAACAGGAUUAGAUACCCUGGUAGUCCACGCCGUAAACGAUGAGAACUUGACGUUGGUUCGUUUUACGAAUCGGUGUCGCAGCUAACGCGAUAAGUUCUCCGCCUGGGGAGUACGGCCGCAAGGUUGAAACUCAAAGGAAUUGACGGCUGNGACGNGCGAGCGACGACGAGGGAGAG